rnacentral:tRNA from 1 species
GGGCCUGUAGCUCAGCUGGUUAGAGCUGCGGACUCAUAAUCCGUCGGUCGUAGGUUCGAGUCCUACCGGGCCCACCA